GGAUACUGCUUGUCCUAAAGAUUCAGGAGGAAUAGAACUUUCUCCAGGAACCCAGGGACUUAUCCAGGGAUGACAAUCUAACUUUUUAGGGUCUGAUUGAAAGAUCUGCAUCCUUGUGGACAAGAACUUAACUCUACAGAGGAGAUUCCUCCUGCCACAGGAUUACACCUGGAAAGAUUUUAACAUUCUUUUCCUUUGUCAAGUCCCCAAAGGAUACAUUCCUGAUAGGGAAUCCUAGAGUUUAUUCUCCCUUGAAUGACUAAGGCCCUAGGCAAAGCUGAAGAGGAGUCUGGAUUCUGUGAGAAUGAACAAGGCAGCUGCUCGGAGUCGGCUGCUGAGGGGGCCAUCUGUUUAAGCAACGAGAAGUACGGAGCUAAAGAGGCACACGGUAUUCAAACAUGUGAGUUCCCUGCACCAGGGCUUCUGGUCAGUUCUUCAAUCAGGAGAGAAAAUGAUGCUUAGGUGUUAAAGGUUCAGGGGGAGCCGAAAUGACUUCAAUUGCCAAAAUAAACAGAAUUGCUUAAUUAAUCUAACUAAAAAAUCCUGUUCAGCAUUGGAUUAAAAAAAUCAUGUUGAUGCUGCCCCUGUUUAUUUGGCUGAAUCCUGGACUGAGAGGGUAUAUUUAGCCUCAGUGUGCUUGCAGGAUUGCAUCUUGCAGCUCAACAGGAAAUAUCUGGAGUCACAGCUAAAGAUAUCUCUGCAUGUUCAGAAAUUUACGAGCAGCUGUAAAAGUGGAGCUAUGGUGGGCAGAGUGCUGGAACAGUCUCCCUUUCAAAUGAGAGAGGCCGCUGAAUUAAACACUUGAAUAUACCAAGUUCAUGGCAGGCAGAGGGCACCUGACAUGCUAAAAAUAGCCAAAGUGGAAGUGCUUCUGUUGCUAAAAUAAUACUGAACUGGUAUGCUCCUUUUCUCAACCCACAAGAAAUGGGUGAAGGGGUAGAGGGUAGGCUCUGAGAUUCCAAAAAGUGUGUCAGAAGCUAUGCCAAGUGAAAGUCAUUUCCUCAUUUUGCCACUUUUCAAAAAUAAAUAGCUUUCUUAAGCUGAGCAAACUGAAGUAGCAGUAAUCAAUAUAUUAUUUUUUAAUAACACGAGACAGAAAUGGUAGCAGCAAAAAGACACUGCAUACCUGGAUCUGUAGUCCUGCUGACAAGCAAUCCUGCUGACGAGCAAACCUUUUCCAUCAUGGGCAAGACUCAUUUAUUUUUAAACAUCCUUUUGCUAGACUCCCUUAUCAGCAACUCCACGCCCUGCUCACCAAUGCCCGGCUGGAAAGGUCCCUACUUACUCCUGUGCACAUGCCUGGCAAGGCUGCUUGCUAAACAGCAUGGACAAGGGGACGUCUGUGCCCCUGCAUGUUGCCGGGCAGAGGAGGCUACGACCUUUUCCCGAAUGGCCAUUAGGUCCAAGAGCCACUGAACUUUCAUUCUGUGACCGAGGACAUUGUCUCAUCUUUCCAAGUCUCACUUGCCCUUUUGCCUGAUGUGGGGCUAAUAGAGAUUACCCUGGUGGCCUCCUGAAGUUGCUGUGCAGAUCUAGUGAGCUAAUGCAUGCGAGAGCACUUUGUGACUCCCAAAAGCCUGAAACCUGAUGGAGGAUGUGGUUGCUGUUGUUAUUGGGCAUUCUACUGGAAACGCGGGGAAAGAACAGCAACAUCUCCCGGUGAUAAGGGAGUGCUGUGCACAGACAUUGAGUGUGUUCUCUUUUGUGGGAUGGUGCCAUCUUCCACAGGUACAAGCACUGUCCACAUCCCACUGAGAGCAGCAGGGGCCACAGGAAGUCCGCUUGCUUUCAAUGAGCUUGGCAUGGCUCACUGCCGGCAUCGCGGCCACACUCCUGCUUCAGUGACUGCACCUACUCUGGGCAGCUCCCAAUGCAGGGCUGGGCCUGGGUUCACGGGGAAGCAGGGGCUGAGACAGAGGUGAUAACAUAGGAUGUGACUGUUUAAAUUCACCUGGCUUCGGUCAACAUUGACAGAAGGUGUACAUGACUCUACGGGAAUGGGGAAAUGGCAGCACCAGGGGCUGACUGAGCCCCAGUCCUGACUGUGACUGCUUUGGUAACAACAAGGUGUUUAGGAAGAACAGUCCCAGUCCUUUUCCAAAGGUCGCCUCCUGGUGUUUACUAAAGGAACUCUGAGUCUCAGCAGAAGCAGAAGUCCUACCAUUAGCUUGCAGAACCCUUCAGGAUGGGAAAGAAGACUUGGGCUUCAGUGACUCAGCCUGGAGCUGGGAACAGGCAGGCAGGGAUACAGAGUGGGUGUUCUUCUCCUACAGGAGGAGAGAUGCAUCCCUCAUGCCCAGAGAGGCUCUGGGGUCCCCGAAUCCAGAGGUAGUAGAAGAAGAGUCAAAACACACUCUCCUGAGAACACAUCUCAGGUGCAUGGAACACAAGACACGCUGCUUUGAUUAGGGUGCUCUCUUGUCCAUUUUGUUCUAUAAUCCACAAGAGAAGACCAUCUGCACAGCAGUGACAUGCUCUAGUUGACCAUGAUGAGCCUUUCCUAGGGAAACUAUUUUGAGUGGUAUAUCUUACAGGAGACUGCAAGGCUCAAUAGUACAGUCACCAGGAAAAUCUACAUGUAAAUAUGACACUUAUGAACCGGCAAUAAAAUAUGGUGAGUCUAAA